GACGAACGCUGGCGGCGCGCUUAACACAUGCAAGUCGAACGAAGAGCGAUGGAAGCUUGCUUCUAUCAAUCUUAGUGGCGAACGGGUGAGUAACGCGUAAUCAACCUGCCCUUCAGAGGGGGACAACAGUUGGAAACGACUGCUAAUACCGCAUACGAUCUAAUCUCGGCAUCGAGGAAAGAUGAAAGGUGGCCUCUAUUUAUAAGCUAUCACUGAAGGAGGGGAUUGCGUCUGAUUAGCUAGUUGGAGGGGUAACGGCCCACCAAGGCGAUGAUCAGUAGCCGGUCUGAGAGGAUGAACGGCCACAUUGGGACUGAGACACGGCCCAGACUCCUACGGGAGGCAGCAGUGGGGAAUCUUCCGCAAUGGACGAAAGUCUGACGGAGCAACGCCGCGUGAGUGAUGACGGCCUUCGGGUUGUAAAGCUCUGUUAAUCGGGACGAAAGGCCUUCUUGCGAACAGUUAGAAGGAUUGACGGUACCGGAAUAGAAAGCCACGGCUAACUACGUG
rnacentral:rRNA from 1 species